GACGAACCGUCCAAACGUUAUUCGGAAUCACUGGGCUUACAGAGUUCGUAGGCGGUCUGGAAAGUUGGGUGUGAAAUCCCUCGGCCUAACCGAGGAACUGCGCUUGAAACUACCAGACUCGAGGGAGAUAGAGGAAAGCGGAACUGAUGGUGGAGCGGUGAAAUGCGUUGAUAUCAUCAGGAACACCGGUGGCGAAGGCGGCUUUCUGGACCAAUACUGACACUGAGGAGCGAAAGCCAGGGGAGCAAACGGG
rnacentral:rRNA from 1 species